rnacentral:rRNA from 1 species
UACAGAGGGGGCAAGCGUUAUUCGGAAUUAUUGGGCGUAAAGGGCGCGUAGGCGGCCUGGCAAGUGGAAGGUGAAAUCCCUCGGCUUAACCGAGGAACUGCCCUCCAAACUGCUUGGCUUGAGACCGGGAGAGGUGAGUGGAAUUCCCAGUGUAGCGGUGAAAUGCGUGGAUAUUGGGAGGAACACCAGUGGCGAAGGCGGCUCACUGGACCGGUACUGACGCUGAGGCGCGAAAGCGUGGGGAGCAAACGGG